UACGUAAAAGACAAGUGUUAUUCAUCUUUAAUAGGUUUAAAGGGUACCUAGACGGUAUUAUUAGCCCAAAAAAGGGUACAAUUAUACUAGAGUUUUAUAGGAGAAGGAAGUAUUUAUGGUGGAGAGUUUAUAAUUUAAUUAUACCUUAAAAGACUGGUAAAGGCGAAAGCAACCUUCUAUCUAAUAACUGACGUUGAGGUACGAAGGCCUGGGUAGCAAACAGG
rnacentral:rRNA from 1 species